rnacentral:rRNA from 1 species
GGCAAUGCGGCGUGCUAUACAUGCAAGUCGUACGCUUCUUUUUCCACCGGAGCUUGCUCCACCGGAAAAAGAAGAGUGGCGAACGGGUGAGUAACACGUGGGUAACCUGCCCAUCAGAAGGGGAUAACACUUGGAAACAGGUGCUAAUACCGUAUAACAAUCGAAACCGCAUGGUUUUGAUUUGAAAGGCGCUUUCGGGUGUCGCUGAUGGAUGGACCCGCGGUGCAUUAGCUAGUUGGUGAGGUAACGGCUCACCAAGGCCACGAUGCAUAGCCGACCUGAGAGGGUGAUCGGCCACAUUGGGACUGAGACACGGCCCAAACUCCUACGGGAGGCAGCAGUAGGGAAUCUUCGGCAAUGGACGAAAGUCUGACCGAGCAACGCCGCGUGAGUGAAGAAGGUUUUCGGAUCGUAAAACUCUGUUGUUAGAGAAGAACAAGGAUGAGAGUAACUGUUCAUCCCUUGACGGUAUCUAACCAGAAAGCCACGGCUAACUACGUGCCAGCAGCCGCGGUAAUACGUAGGUGGCAAGCGUUGUCCGGAUUUAUUGGGCGUAAAGCGAGCGCAGGCGGUUUCUUAAGUCUGAUGUGAAAGCCCCCGGCUCAACCGGGGAGGGUCAUUGGAAACUGGGAGACUUGAGUGCAGAAGAGGAGAGUGGAAUUCCAUGUGUAGCGGUGAAAUGCGUAGAUAUAUGGAGGAACACCAGUGGCGAAGGCGGCUCUCUGGUCUGUAACUGACGCUGAGGCUCGAAAGCGUGGGGAGCAAACAGGAUUAGAUACCCUGGUAGUCCACGCCGUAAACGAUGAGUGCUAAGUGUUGGAGGGUUUCCGCCCUUCAGUGCUGCAGCUAACGCAUUAAGCACUCCGCCUGGGGAGUACGACCGCAAGGUUGAAACUCAAAGGAAUUGACGGGGGCCCGCACAAGCGGUGGAGCAUGUGGUUUAAUUCGAAGCAACGCGAAGAACCUUACCAGGUCUUGACAUCCUUUGACCACUCUAGAGAUAGAGCUUCCCCUUCGGGGGCAAAGUGACAGGUGGUGCAUGGUUGUCGUCAGCUCGUGUCGUGAGAUGUUGGGUUAAGUCCCGCAACGAGCGCAACCCUUAUUGUUAGUUGCCAUCAUUCAGUUGGGCACUCUAGCAAGACUGCCGGUGACAAACCGGAGGAAGGUGGGGAUGACGUCAAAUCAUCAUGCCCCUUAUGACCUGGGCUACACACGUGCUACAAUGGGAAGUACAACGAGUCGCGAAGUCGCGAGGCUAAGCUAAUCUCUUAAAGCUUCUCUCAGUUCGGAUUGUAGGCUGCAACUCGCCUACAUGAAGCCGGAAUCGCUAGUAAUCGCGGAUCAGCACGCCGCGGUGAAUACGUUCCCGGGCCUUGUACACACCGCCCGUCACACCACGAGAGUUUGUAACACCCGAAGUCGGUGAGGUAACCUUUUGGAGCCAGCCGCCUAAGGUGGGAUAGAUGAUUGGGGGAAGUCGUAACAAGAGCUGG